GGGUGAUUAGAUCAGUUGGUUAGAUCGUUACGUUGACAUCGUAAAGGUCACUGGUUCGAGUCCAGUAUCACCCACCA
rnacentral:tRNA from 1 species